rfam:Corchorus capsularis cultivar CVL-1 contig06607, whole genome shotgun sequence.
GGAGAGAUGGCCGAGUGGUUCAAGGCGUAGCAUUGGAACUGCUAUGUAGGUUUUUGUUUACCAAGGCUCUGGCAAGACCUCUCUUUCCG